rnacentral:lncRNA from 1 species
AUGUGUCUGUUGCUUAAUUAUCCAUUGGCGCAUUUACAUGUGGCCAUGAAGAGGGCCACGGAUGACUGUGUAAAAAUGAUCAAUCAUUACUUCUUACAGUCCAGAGGAGGUGCCAAGAAAACAAGAAAAAAAAAAGAAACCAAAAAACCCACAACCCUACCCUUUCACACUGCUAUCUAUGUGGGAGACCUGAAAACUGAGAAACAAACGUCACCCCAAACAAUGAGUUGGAAAAUGAACUCAAAUUUAUCCUACGAAGCAGGUGACCAAACCCACCUCUUGGCUUUUUCAAGAUGUACGUAUCUCAUUUCCAACAAAUCAUAGCCAGAACAUCAAAUUUCUUUUCCAUCUUCUGUUCCUGGUGGAUCUGAAUCAGAGAAGCAAUGGCUGAGAAAAAUUGGAAGGGAUCUUCAUUUGAACUUUGACUCCUGGCUCUUUUCCUGUUGGAUCCAUGAAUUUCUGAGAAUUUCUGAGAUCAUUUCUAAUUUGUUGUAGGAGUCCUUCUGGACAGAAAGUUCCCUAGUCUUUGUGAUAAGAAUAUGUUCUUUACAGCUUGCAGUAUUGCAGGCUCUCUUCAUUCAUUUCCGAACAGUUUCUAAUAAACUGAAUAAAAGUGCACA